rnacentral:rRNA from 1 species
GAUGAACGCUGGCGGCGUGCUUAACACAUGCAAGUCGAACGGGAUCCCAGGAGCUUGCUCCUGGGUGAGAGUGGCGAACGGGUGAGUAAUGCGUGACCGACCUGCCCCAUACACCGGAAUAGCUCCUGGAAACGGGUGGUAAUGCCGGAUGCUCCAACAUGACGCAUGUCGUGUUGGGAAAGAUUCAUCGGUAUGGGAUGGGGUCGCGUCCUAUCAGCUUGAUGGCGGGGUAACGGCCCACCAUGGCUUCGACGGGUAGCCGGCCUGAGAGGGCGACCGGCCACAUUGGGACUGAGAUACGGCCCAGACUCCUACGGGAGGCAGCAGUGGGGAAUAUUGCACAAUGGGCGCAAGCCUGAUGCAGCGACGCCGCGUGCGGGAUGACGGCCUUCGGGUUGUAAACCGCUUUUGACUGGGAGCAAGCCCUUCGGGGUGAGUGUACCU